rnacentral:rRNA from 1 species
UACGUAGGGGGCAAGCGUUGUCCGGAAUCAUUGGGCGUAAAGAGCGUGUAGGCGGCCAGAUAAGUCCGCUGUGAAAACUCGAGGCUCAACUUCGAGCUGUCGGUGGAAACUAUUUGGCUAGAGUCCGGAAGAGGAGAGUGGAAUUCCUGGUGUAGCGGUGAAAUGCGCAGAUAUCAGGAGGAACACCAGUGGCGAAGGCGGUGCUCUGGGCCGGAACUGACGCUGAGGAGCGAAAGCGUGGGGAGCAAACAGG